GAAGCUUUGUGUGACAGACUGAUCUUUUAGCCUGUUGAAGGAAGCAUACAUUUUAUGCUCACGUCUAAAUUUAAUCAGCAUUUAUUAGUAUCACAUCAAAAUUACAAACGUUUAAGAUCAGCAUCGCGGGGGGUAACGUUAAGGUCAUAUCCGUUAUUUAUCAUUUCCAUCUGAUCGGAUCUGAUCUGAGUUAAAGAUGAUGCGUAAGAAGAAGCGCUCAUCCAUCACAGUCGAUGACGAUUCCACACUUGACGUUCCUAAAUCAAAAAAGACCAAGAGCAGUGGACGACCAACAAAAUCUUCAUUACAGGACUCCUACCCGGACUCAGUUUUUGUUCAGUUUCUGAAGGAAUCUGGUGUCACUUUGACAGCUGGCA